rnacentral:rRNA from 1 species
UGCGGAGGGAUCAUUACCGAGUUUACAACUCCCAAACCCAAUGUGAACGUUACCAAACUGUUGCCUCGGCGGGAUCUCUGCCCCGGGUGCGUCGCAGCCCCGGACCAAGGCGCCCGCCGGAGGACCAACCAAAACUCUUAUUGUAUACCCCCUCGCGGGUUUUUUUUAUAAUCUGAGCCUUCUCGGCGCCUCUCGUAGGCGUUUCGAAAAUGAAUCAAAACUUUCAACAACGGAUCUCUUGGUUCUGGCAUCGAUGAAGAACGCAGCGAAAUGCGAUAAGUAAUGUGAAUUGCAGAAUUCAGUGAAUCAUCGAAUCUUUGAACGCACAUUGCGCCCGCCAGUAUUCUGGCGGGCAUGCCUGUCCGAGCGUCAUUUCAACCCUCGAACCCCUCCGGGGGGUCGGCGUUGGGGAUCGGCCCUGCCUUGGCGGUGGCCGUCUCCGAAAUACAGUGGCGGUCUCGCCGCAGCCUCUCCUGCGCAGUAGUUUGCACACUCGCAUCGGGAGCGCGGCGCGUCCACAGCCGUUAAACACCCAACUUCUGAAAUGUUGACCUCGGAUCAGGUAGGAAUACCCGCUGAACUUAAGCAUAU